GACGAACGCUGGCGGCGUGCUUAACACAUGCAAGUCGAACGGAAAGGCCCUGCUUUUGUGGGGUGCUCGAGUGGCGAACGGGUGAGUAACACGUGAGUAACCUGCCCUUGACUUUGGGAUAACUUCAGGAAACUUGGGCUAAUACCGGAUAGGAGCUCCCGCUGCAUGGUGGGGGCUGGAAAGUUUCGGCGGUUGGGGAUGGACUCGCGGCUUAUCAGCUUGUUGGUUGGGUAGUGGCUUACCAAGGCAUUCAAGGGUAGCCGGCCUGGGAGGGUGACCGGCCACGUUGGGACUGAGAUACGGCCCAGACUCCUACGGGAGGCAGCAGUGGGGAAUAUUGCACAAUGGGCGGAAGCCUGAUGCAGCAACGCCGCGUGCGGGAUGAGGGCCUUCGGGUUGUAAACCGCUUUCGCCUGUGACGAAGCGUGAGUGACGGUAAUGGGUAAAGAAGCACCGGCUAACUACGUG
rnacentral:rRNA from 1 species